AUGCGUAGCCGUCAAAACAGGUCCUCAGGAAACGGCAUGCUGGCCUCUGGGCGCAGAACCUCCACCCUUGUUUGGCUGGUGUCUUGUUGCAGCUGGUGGAUGACUUGUAGUUUUAUGUGCAGAAAAGCUCCUGUUGGGCUCCAGCCAGGCGAGUCACCACUCAAAGAGGGGGUCCAGCCGGGCCAUCAGACUCUUCAGGUGUCGCCCUGUCUGGGCCAGCUGUUGUGUCAGUUGGACCAGCUGUUGAACAGUCUGAGAUGGGAGACAGCUCAGCGAGUGGACAAGGCCUAUGUCUUGGGGAAGGUGGCUGAUGCGGCUGAGGACACGGCUGUUUCACCGGCAGAGCCAGGAUGCAAUCCCUGUCUGCCUGAUUCAAAAGAACUGCUCUUAUUUUUCACCCAGAGAAAAAGAGAGGUGACUCCUGCUUUAUAGUUGUGAGAAUCCCAUGAGAAAAUCAACACAAGGUGUCCAGCAGAACUCUCUACGCACAGUCGACAUGUUCACUCCCAGAAACUCUUCAUUGCCUUCUCUCUGUAAUCAGAAGUGACCAAUCGCUGCUAAACCACGACACUGAGAACACGGCUGGUCCCAGCCCCGUGCCUGGGCGUCACUCCGCUCCCACAUGGCGCCCAGUUUCUGCUUGGUGUUCUAAGAUGGGCUUCUUGGGGUAGUGUUCCUCCUCUGGCUCCUCUCCCAUAUGGUGGUUUAAUUGCUAAGUUGUGUCCGACUUUUGCAACCCCAUGGACUGUAGCCCACCAAUCUCCUCUGUCCAUGGGAUUUUUUCCAGGCAAGAAUACUGGAGUGAAUUGCCAUUUCCUUCUGCAGGGGAUCUUCCCGACCCAGGAAUUGAACCCGUGUCUCCUGCGUUGCAGGCAGAGUCUUUACCGACUGAGCUACCAAACGCACAAUAGCUACAAAAAUGAGAAACAGCAUGGCGGUCGUGGUGAGGUUCCAAGACCAUCAUCAAUUCUUAUAAAAAAAAAAUCAUUCUCUUUGAAUGUGGUGCUUAUCUGGGUACCGUGCCAAACUCAGUCUAGGACAGACACUGGGAUAAGUUGAGGGUGGGAAGAGCGUCUCCUGACUAACCCACCAGCUAUAGGAAGUUUUUCUAGACCCAAGGGUUCUCAACCUCACUGGAUCCAACUCCCCCCUUUUUUAAUGAAUACUCUAUAUUAUUACCAUGAAAUAAAAAGGUAAACCACUAUAACUUGCCUUUGAUG
rnacentral:lncRNA from 1 species